rnacentral:rRNA from 1 species
GAUUUCUGAUGCGGCGCACCUAGCCCGCCACGGUUACGUGCGUGAGUGCCGGGAUGCGCCUGUCACUUUUCUGGUAAACCAUUGUGCUCUUCACUGAGUGCGAUGGGUAGCCAGAUAUUUUACUUUGAAAAAAUUAGAGUGUUUAAAGCAGGCGUUUGCUAUGAAUACAUUAGCAUGGAAUAAUAAGUUAGGACUUCGGUUCUAUUUUGUUGGUUUCUAGGACUGAAGUAAUGAUUGAUAGGGAUAGUUGGGGGUGCUAGUAUUCAGCGGCCAGAGGUGAAAUUCUCGGAUUCGCUGAAGACUAACUUAUGCGAAAGCAUU